UGGGGAAUCUUGGACAAUGGGCGCAAGCCUGAUCCAGCCAUGCCGCGUGAGUGAAGAAGGCCUUAGGGUUGUAAAGCUCUUUUACCAGGGACGAUAAUGACGGUACCUGGAGAAUAAGCCCCAGCAAACUUCGUGCCAGCAGCCGCGGUAAUACGAAGGGGGCUAGCGUUGUUCGGAAUUACUGGGCGUAAAGCGCACGUAGGCGGGUCGUUAAGUCAGGGGUGAAAUCCCGGAGCUCAACUCCGGAACUGCCUUUGAUACUGGCGAUCUAGAGAUCGAGAGAGGUGAGUGGAAUUCCGAGUGUAGAGGUGAAAUUCGUAGAUAUCAAGAGGAACACCUGAGGCGAAGGCGGGUUGCUGGGCUGAUACUGACGCUGAGGCGCGAAAGCUAGGGUAGCAAACGGGAUUAGAUACCCCGGUAGUCCCUGAGCGGGCUGGCAAGGCGCAU
rnacentral:rRNA from 1 species